AUGAACGCUAGCUACAGGCUUAACACAUGCAAGUCGAGGGGCAGCAUGGUCUUAGCUUGCUAAGGCCGAUGGCGACCGGCGCACGGGUGAGUAACACGUAUCCAACCUGCCGUCUACUCUUGGACAGCCUUCUGAAAGGAAGAUUAAUACAAGAUGGCAUCAUGAGUCCGCAUGUUCACAUGAUUAAAGGUAUUCCGGUAGACGAUGGGGAUGCGUUCCAUUAGAUAGUAGGCGGGGUAACGGCCCACCUAGUCUUCGAUGGAUAGGGGUUCUGAGAGGAAGGUCCCCCACAUUGGAACUGAGACACGGUCCAAACUCCUACGGGAGGCAGCAGUGAGGAAUAUUGGUCAAUGGGCGCAGGCCUGAACCAGCCAAGUAGCGUGAAGGAUGACUGCCCUAUGGGUUGUAAACUUCUUUUAUAAAGGAAUAAAGUCGGGUAUGGAUACCCGUUUGCAUGUACUUUAUGAAUAAGGAUCGGCUAACUCCGUGCCAGCAGCCGCGGUAAUACGGAGGAUCCGAGCGUUAUCCGGAUUUAUUGGGUUUAAAGGGAGCGUAGAUGGAUGUUUAAGUCAGUUGUGAAAGUUUGCGGCUCAACCGUAAAAUUGCAGUUGAUACUGGAUAUCUUGAGUGCAGUUGAGGCAGGCGGAAUUCGUGGUGUAGCGGUGAAAUGCUUAGAUAUCACGAAGAACUCCGAUUGCGAAGGCAGCCUGCUAAGCUGCAACUGACAUUGAGGCUCGAAAGUGUGGGUAUCAAACAGGAUUAGAUACCCUGGUAGUCCACACGGUAAACGAUGAAUACUCGCUGUUUGCGAUAUACAGCAAGCGGCCAAGCGAAAGCGUUAAGUAUUCCACCUGGGGAGUACGCCGGCAACGGUGAAACUCAAAGGAAUUGACGGGGGCCCGCACAAGCGGAGGAACAUGUGGUUUAAUUCGAUGAUACGCGAGGAACCUUACCCGGGCUUAAAUUGCAGAUGAAUUACGGUGAAAGCCGUAAGCCGCAAGGCAUCUGUGAAGGUGCUGCAUGGUUGUCGUCAGCUCGUGCCGUGAGGUGUCGGCUUAAGUGCCAUAACGAGCGCAACCCUUGUUGUCAGUUACUAACAGGUUCCGCUGAGGACUCUGACAAGACUGCCAUCGUAAGAUGUGAGGAAGGUGGGGAUGACGUCAAAUCAGCACGGCCCUUACGUCCGGGGCUACACACGUGUUACAAUGGGGGGUACAGAGGGCCGCUACCACGCGAGUGGAUGCCAAUCCCCAAAACCUCUCUCAGUUCGGACUGGAGUCUGCAACCCGACUCCACGAAGCUGGAUUCGCUAGUAAUCGCGCAUCAGCCACGGCGCGGUGAAUACGUUCCCGGGCCUUGUACACACCGCCCGUCAAGCCAUGGGAGCCGGGGGUACCUGAAGUGCGUAACCGCGAGGAGCGCCCUAGGGUAAAACUGGUGACUGGGGCU
rnacentral:rRNA from 1 species